rnacentral:rRNA from 1 species
GAUCCUGGCUCAGAGCGAACGCUGGCGGCAGGCCUAACACAUGCAAGUCGAACGAACCUUUCGGGGUUAGUGGCGGACGGGUGAGUAACACGUGGGAACGUGCCUUUAGGUUCGGAAUAACUCAGGGAAACUUGUGCUAAUACCGAAUGUGCCCUUCGGGGGAAAGAUUUAUCGCCUUUAGAGCGGCCCGCGUCUGAUUAGCUAGUUGGUUGAGGUAAUGGCUCACCAAGGCGACGAUCAGUAGCUGGUCUGAGAGGA